rnacentral:pre_miRNA from 12 species
GCUCUGGAGCAGUAGGACUUACUCCACCUGUGAACACUGUAUGUCUUUCCCAUGUUCACAGUGGUUAAGUUCUGCUGCUUAG